CUCAGUGGGUUAAGGAUCCGGUGUUUCUGUAAGCUGUGGCAUAGGUUGCAGACAUGGCUCGGAUCUGGCAUUGCUAUGGCUGUGGGGGUAGGCUGGCAGCUACAGUUCCAAUUCAACCCCCAGCCUGGGAACCUCCAUAUGCCUUAGGUGCAGCCCUAAAAAAUAAAAAUAAAAAUAAAAAUUAAAAAAAAAACUAAGGAAUUUCCCAUUGUGGCUCAGCAGUAGCAAACCCGACAAGCAUCCAUGAGGACUCAGGUUUGAUCCCUGGCCUUGCUCAGUGGAUUAAGGAUCUGGCAUUGCUCUGGCUGUGGCAUAAGCCAACAGCUGUAGCCAGGGAACUUCAAUAUGCCACAGGUGUGGCCCUAAAAGGAAAAAAAUAAAGUUAUUUAAAUCAAGGGAAAACCCUUUGAAAAACUCUUCCCUCAUAUACCUAACUGCUGUCACAUGGCUAUUUCAUUUUGUUCACUUCUGGCCAUUCGAUUUUCCCCUUUAAAGAGCAUUAGUUUCUACAGAAACAAGAAUGUUUGGGGAAAGCUUAGAAAUAUCCAGACCACAUGUGGUAUACAGUAAACUCCUGCAAUGUUUUGAAAUGUAUCUCCUGGUUUAGUUAAUUGAAGAAUAGAAUUAUAGAAGGUCACUGUUGCUAUAUCUCAGAUAUGAGUUUAUUUGACAGAUUAUAUGCUCAUAUUUGGGCCUGUCCCUAGCUUAUUUUAUAUGAUUCUGAUAAAGUAUUUCCUGAGAGCUAAAACCUUUCCUUAAAUUUUGCUGCAUUGCUUGAUUAUUUUGAAAAAUGGCAGCUGAAUUAAAGGAAUUGUUUACUCCUAGAGCAAAAUGCAGCUUUUGGUACCCUGGCCUCACCUACAUUUGCUUUAUUAGCCUCAAAACAUUUUUUGAAAUGAGGUUGACUUGCUACUUACUGCGCUAAGGAGGCACCUCAAAACAUUUUUUUUUAAAGAUCCUCUGAGAUCGGCUCUAAGGAAAUUCAAAUCAGGGCCUGUCACAGGUGAGUGACAAGAAUAUAGAUGAGAAAACACAGAGAUGUUUUCACCAACUGUCUCUCUCUAUGGCUGCUGAACAGAAUGAAAUUGAUACGCCUCACCCAAUCUUUAGUGAAAUAGAAGUUCCAUGAAGACAUGGAUCUGGCAUGUCUCUGGGUCUUGAGUGAACGCCCUUGGCUAUGUUGAAGCAGAGGAUCUUGUGUUUUUCUAAAUAGUAAUUUAUGUGCAAUCUGCCUUUAUUGUUGUUUGCUAAGCAAGGUUAUAAUUUAUUCACUCAUCAAAUAUUUACCAAUGUUUGCUACGUAUCAGGAAUUGUUGUAGGUGUUGAUAAUACAGCAACGAGUAAAAGAGAUUAAAGUCCUCAACCCUAUUAGCUCACAGUAGGACUUCUAUAUUCCCAGAUAAAAUAAGUAAAAUAAAAUAUAUUUUAUUGCUAUGGAUGGAAAUAAAGAAGGGAGGGUAUUAGAGAAUGUUCGAGGGGAGGCCAUAAGUUCAGAUAGGCUGGCUAGGGUACUUACCUUUACUAUGGAACAUCCUUCAGGGUUAAAAGGUUGCCAGGAUUUGUAUCCAGAAAACCCUAUAGUCAUAUUCAACUGAGUUUCACCAAAUCUACCACCAAAACACUUCAUAUAAAUUGAUGACUUCCUCUAGUUUUGAUUUUUCUAACUUUUCUAGUUUUAAUUCUUACAGAAGUAUGGAAAAAAACAAAGAUAUUUCCAGUCUUAUUAAAGUUUCAAAGUGGUAUAGCUGAUCAGUCACUCAGGAAUUUUACAAAUAUUUUUUGAGUACCUACUCUGUGGCAAACAUUACAAUAUAUUGAUGAGAAUACUUUUAGUUGCAUAUUAAAAAAACAAAAAACAAAAAACGUGACUCAGAGUUUGCUGGUGGCUCAGUGGAUUAAGGAUCCAGCAUUGUCACUGCCGUGGCUGAGGUCACUGCUAUGACACAAGAUCAAUCCCUGGACUCAGAACUUCCGAAUGCCAGCAAAAUAAAAGAUAAAAAUGGAGUUCCCGUUGUGGCUCAGCGGUUAACAAACCCAACUAGCAUCUCUGAGGACACAGCAACGCCAGAUCCUUAACCCACUGAGCAAGACCAGGGAUUGAACCCUCAUCCUCGUGGAUACUAGUCGGGUUCAUUACUGCUGAACCACAAUGGGAACUCUCCUAGCUCCCUUCCAAAUACUGAUAGCAGUUGCCAGGGACCGAGUGUUUUCUAUGUGUCAGUUCCUGUGCUGAGCUUUUGGUGUGGAGUGUUGUAUUUUAUUCUUACUACAUCUCUAAUAACCGGGAACUCUGAUCCUUAUUUUUCAAAUGAGGGAACUAAGUUUGAGAGUUUAAGUGACUUGUCCAAUGUCAUGUCCCUAAGAAAUAUCUGCCUUGAAAUCUUUGUAAAUUAAAAUCUACAAAUUUGGGAGCAUGGAAUACUUCCCAAAAGGCUGCCUACAUAGAGUCAUUGUUUCUUUAUUCCUCCCCUAACUCCUGGAGUUGGGUUUUUUGUUUUUUUUUUCCCCUGAGUUGGGUAGGAGGUGUUGACUCACCUCCACUGCCAGUACAUCACUUAUGGGUGUUAUCAGUACCCUCAAAUUGCCCCAUCUGGACUCUGGGCCCAGAUAACCACUGCAUAAGCAGCCAGCUGUGCUGUUUGCCAGAUGCACUCUUGAUUGCUACUCUGUUUGGAAUCAGUCAGUAUAAUACUUGGCUGAUGACUCUGACCCAGAACUUUGAGUGCCUUUGCUAAUUAAGCUCUUGGCAGAGUAUUCCAACUGCCCACCCAUGGAAUUCCUGGCUCCUAGAAAUAAUUUAGAAUGUCUAGAAAGUGCAAGUCCCACUAUGGAUAGUGCCAUGCAUUGUGUUAAAAACGCUCAUCCGUGGAACAUUAAUAUCCAUGAACUUGGUGUUCCUGUUGUGGUUCAGGGGUAACAAACCAGACUAGUAUCCAUGAGGAUGCAGGUUCAGUCCCUGGCCUUGCUCAGUAGAUUAAGGAUCCGGCAUUGCUGUGAGCUGUGGUGUAGGCUGCAGACACAGCUCAGAUCCCACGUUGCUGUGGCUGUCGUGUAGGCUGGCGGCUACAGCUCCGAUUCGACCCCUAGCCUGGGAACCUCUAUAUGCCUCAGGUGCAGCCUUAAAAAGACCAAAAAAAAAAAAAAAAAAAAA
rnacentral:lncRNA from 1 species